rnacentral:rRNA from 1 species
UACGACUACAUAUCAGGCAUAUCAAUAAGCGGAGGAAAAGAAACUAACUAGGAUUCCCUCAGUAACGGCGAGUGAAGCGGGAAGAGCUCAAAUUUGAAAUCUUCAAGGUUUUACCUUGACGAAUUGUAGCUUAAAGAAGUGUUUUCUGUUGGUGUUUUGGUAAAAGUUCUUUGGAAUAGGACAUCAUAGAGGGUGAGAAUCCCGUAUUUGACCAUUACUUCCAGCGUUGUGAUACACUUUCAAAGAGUCGGAUUGUUUGGGAAUGCAGUCCAAAAUGGGUGGUAAAUUUCAUCUAAAGCUAAAUAUUGGCGAGAGACCGAUAGCGAACAAGUACCGUGAGGGAAAGAUGAAAAGAACUUUGAAAAGAGAGUUAAACAGUACGUGAAAUUGUCAAAAGGGAAGCGUUUGACACCAGUGUUGUCUUCUCGAAAAUCAAUUAAAAAGUAUGGGAUUUUGUAUUGUUAAGACCUUAUCAGCUUACGGUACUUUUUUCUUAUUCUUUUUAAUGCACUUUUCGUUUAACAAGUCAACAUCAAUUUCUUUUGUUGUAAAAGAGUCAUUGGAAGGUGGCUUUCACUUCGGUGAAAGUGUUUAUAGCCUUUGGCUUCUGCAAUCGGAGAGAUUGAGGUCUGCAGCGUAGAUCCUUCGGGGUUAGAUACGUAGAUGCUAAGUUAUAGUUUUUCAUAGACAACUUGUUGACUAUGAUUAAUCAUGUAGCUUACUCGUUUGCGCUAUUUUACCUACGCUUAGGAUGUUGAAUCUGUGCGAGACUAC